GAUUUUCCACCCCUUUAAGCCUAAAUUGAAUCAAUUAUAGUGUGCUACCUUCACUUUGGAAGUUCUUUUCUUGAAUUGAAUCUCUAAAUUUGCAUUGGUCAAGGGAAAUAAAAAUAUAAAUACAUGCAAAUAAAAAGUUAGUGUAACUCCCUAUGAGGUGAUUUGCCCAAACUGUCAUGAAAAGAAAAGAAAAAGAAAAACCAGCACAAAGCACAAAUCAUAAAACCUGUUCCUAUGGCCAAAUAAGCUAUGAACAGAGCUAGUAGCCACUUGAACAAGUGACUAACUGAGUAACCGGGGGUGGGUAUCACCAAUAUGCACCUUCGCAUAAAAAGGUUAGUGACUUUUUCAGGCAAGAAUAAAAAAAAAGUGCUGCUGAAUAAAAUAAAAUAAAAUGCUCAAAGAAGGGCAAGUCAGUCUUAGAGGUUGCAUUGAGCUUAUACAAAGAGAAUAAGCAUGAAUGAAUCAAAAACCUUUCCUUUGACCAUGAUAGGUAAGGGGAAACAAGGAAAAGAGAAGAACAACCUUGGUGCAUGUAUUCUAUACUGUGAUACUUCAAUUUAGGAGUCUAGGGGGGGCUGAUUAAGUGGUACUUAGG
rnacentral:lncRNA from 1 species